rnacentral:rRNA from 1 species
GACGAACGCUGGCGGCGUGCUUAACACAUGCAAGUCGAACGGUAAGGCCCCUUCGGGGGUCCCCGAGUGGCGCACGGGGGUGUAACAUGUGAGCAACCUGCCCUUGACUCUGGAAUAACAGUGGGAAACAGCCGCUAAUACUGGAUACUCAUCUUCUCCUGCCUGGGGGGGGGUGGAAAGCUCCGGCGGUCAGGGAUGGGCGCGCGGCCUAUCAGCUUGUUGGUGAGGUAAUGGCUCACCAAGGCUUCGACGGGUAGCCGGCCUGAGAGGGCGACCGGCCACACUGGGACUGAGAUACGGCCCAGACUCCUACGGGAGGCAGCAGUGGGGAAUAUUGCACAAUGGGCGCAAGCCUGAUGCAGCGACGCCGCGUGCGGGAUGACGGCCUUCGGGUUGUAAACCGCUUUCAGUAGGGACGAAGGGUGACUGACGGUACCUACAGAAGAAGGACCGGCUAACUACGUG